UACAGAGGUCUCGAGCGUUAGGCGGAAUCACUGGGCUUAAAGCGUGUGUAGGUGGAUCGUUAAGUACCUUGUGAAAUCCCACGGCUUAACCGUGGAACUGCUUGGUAUACUGGCGGUCUUGAGCCAGCUAGGGGCUACCGGAACAAAUGGUGGAGCGGUGAAAUGCGUAGAUAUCAGGAGGAACACCGGUGGCGAAGGCGGGUCUCUGGGCCGAUACUGACGCUGAGGCGCGAAAGCCAGGGGAGCAAACGGG
rnacentral:rRNA from 1 species